CCCCUAGAUGUUCUGGGCCGCACGCGCGCUACACUGAACAGUUCAACAAGUCUUAACCUUGGCCGAUAGGUCUGGGUAAUCUUUGAACGCUGUUCGUGAUUGGGAUAGACCUUUGCAAUUAUGGGUCUUCAACGAGGAAUUCCUAGUAAACGCAAGUCAUCAGCUUGCAUUGAUUACGUCCCUGCCCUUUGUGCACACCGCCCGUCGCACCUACCGAUUGAAUGGUCCGGUGAAAUCUCGGGACGGCGGCUCGGUCGCUUGCGUCCGACUGCUGAAACUUGAUUAAACCAUAUCAUUUAGAGGAAGGUGAAGUCGUAACA
rnacentral:rRNA from 1 species